rnacentral:tRNA from 3 species
GCCCAGAUGGCGGAAUUGGUAGACGCACUAGGUUCAGGUCCUAGCGCCAGCAAUGGUGUGGAGGUUCGAGUCCUCUUCUGGGCACCA